CUACUGCUGCCCGACGAUAUCACUCCGGCGAGAGGAGCGAGGAGCGCGAUGCCGGGUGCGGCUGCACGCGAGUGUGGACGGACCGCCGCUGGAGUACGGAACACGCGGAGCGCACUUUUUGCGGGGACGGGUUCGUACAGGUUAAAUGCGGCAUCAGUGGUCAACGUUGGACUUCCGUUUAGAUGGCGUGGGUCCCCGAUUGCAAUUAACCUAUCGUAGUCCAAUUUCAAAUUUGUUUACUUGGUUUUUACAUCCGAACGGAAAACAUGACGAACGGUUCGACGAGAUUCAAUUUUGACGUUCUUUUAAGAUAUUUCACUGAAUGUUCUCGUUACAAUGUCGUAUCUACGCGAGAUUCGAUUGUAAUUUGUUCUGUUUGCGUCUACUUGUCUCUACUUACCUUCGGUAAAUUUCAAAUUCAGGGAAAAGUACGUGUUAGGAUAGAAUUUUUUUUCCACGACGCAUGAUACGUUACUGCGUCUGUGAUUUUAGAAACGACCGUGACGUAUCGGCCGUUCCCGAGCGCUGCUGUCCUCGUUCCCGGCCGAGUAGCUCCCUUUUGAGCCUGUUUUCAGAUCGACGGAUCUGACGCAACAGAUCGCAAGUGAAUUUUAAGGUACAGAAAAAAUAAAAUUACUGCAACCCAGGCUGAGAAACUACUUGCAGCUAGAAUUGUACGAUAACAGUAUCCCCUUCGGGGAAUUCCCCAAAUCGAAGAAUUUCAAAUAAUAAAAAUGAAGGAGACAAGCAAGAAAUUGUCUCAAGAAAUGUCUUUUGAAAGUUUUCAAAAGCAAAAGCUUUCAUUUCGCGAAAUCACGGAAAUUAUAAACAGAGUAUUGAUACUGUCCAAUAUAUUGUUAAACUAUCAAGAAGAAAAUAGAGUAUUAAAUAAAGUUCCAAAUAAAAAACCCAACUCAUGAUGAAAGAUGAAUAGUAAGAAAAAUAAAAGAAAAGACUGGUGUUUCUAAAUUCAUAGUCUGUGGUGGAAAAGAGAAAAGUCUAAAUAUAAAUAUUUAAUAUGCAAAAGAAAGUACGAUGUAAUGUUAGAUACAUUCUUUUUUUUCAUAUUUUUAUAUAGCAAAAUAUGAAUUACAACUUCUUAUAUUGAAAUGACAAGUAGCAAAUAGGGAAAGAAACAAAGGAAAAUAAUAAUUACUACAUGUUGCAAAUAUUUUAUUGUAAAACACAGAUGUGAAAAAAUGUAAACGUAAAAAAAAUAUACACACGCUGUAGCAAAUU